UUUACAUACAAAACUCUUUUUUGUUUAUUUUUUGGUCUUUUGUUUUGUUUUGUUUCGGGGGGAAAGAAGUGGUUUUCUUUGUCAUCCUGGUCCUUAAUAGUAUUAGCCAAGGCUCCUCUCAGCUGCUCUCCUGCCCUGCUCUGCCCUCUACAGCCCUCUCUUGGAAGGACUCCCCUCUCCACCAGUAGAGGACGCCAAUGUGACAUGAAGGCUGCUGGGAAAUGUAGUCCAUGGUCUUAAAGGGUCUGCUCUGAGUCCCAGGAACCCCUCCUCUAGCUGCAGGAUGGGCUUAAACCUUUUAAGCCUAGAAUUUACAACAGUUUGGGGGCCUUUCUCUCUUGGUUCUUCAAUUAGCCCUAUCCAGAACACUUUGCAAAGCUUAAGGAGAGCCCAGGGCUGUUCACAACUUCCCCUUCCUCUAAGGCCUCCAGCACAGUGAGGUAAUGGAAUUGUGAUUAUGACAUCAUGGACAGUUCAGCUGCUUGCACUGGGGGAAAGGGAGAGUAUCAUGGUUACAGCUGGAUCACCUAAGGCAGAGAGGGAAGGAACCAACAGGUAUAUGAAGAAGACUGUAUUUCCUCCUCAGGAAGAAAAAAUCACCUAUAAUGAUCAGAUACAUGAAAAUAUGUCAUCUGCAGUGUAUGAAUAAGAAAAUGGCUCAAGAAAAACAUGCCAUUUUGCAGGACAAAUAGCUCAACAAACUCUCAACAAAGAACAGAAGGGAACUCCUUCAACUGAAAAAUAUCUAUAAAGAUCUACAACUAGUAUCAUAUUCAAUGGUGAAAAACUACAUGAUUUUUCCUUACGAUCAGGAAUAUGGCAAGAAUGUCCUCUGUUACUCAAAGUGGUACAUUAAAUUCUAGCCAGUGCAGUUGAGCAAACCGGCAAGAUAAAGAGAUUAAAGGACAUCUGGGUUAAAAAUGUUUUAUUCACAGGUAAUAUGAACCUGUAUCUAGAAAAUUUUAAGGAUUUCAUGAAACAAUUUAUGAAAACUAAUAAGCUCAUCAAUGACUCUGAGUAAAGAUCAACAUAUAAACAUCAAAUGUAUUUCUACAUACUAGUAAUAAUCCAAAAAUGAAAUUAGCAAACCAAGCAUAUACGUAUAGCACCAAAAAAAACCUGCUUAGAAAUACGUUUAACAACAACAACAGCAAAAUGCAAAAGGUAUAUACAGAAAACUACAAAACUUUCCUGGGAGAAAUUUGAACAGACUUAAUUAAUGGAGAACAUUAUGUUCAUGCAUUUGAAAGCUAACUAAUUUUAAGAUGACAAUUCUUGAUCUAUUGAUCUAAUGCAUUCUCUAUUGAAGUCUGACUAGAAUUUUUCGCAAAAUGACAAGCCAAUUCUAAAAUAUAUAUGAGAAAACAAGACACAGAAAAGUACAAAGGCUUUUUUAAAAAGUUAGAGAACUUACAUUACCUGAUUUCAACAGUUAGUACAAAAAGGAAUAGUAUUAGCCAAAAACUCAGAGUUAAGUGGCUCCUAGGGCCCAUCUCUAAAAAAAACAAGCAGAAAGUGUCAGAAUCAACUCAUUGGCACUCUGGAAAACAGUCAGAGGUUGACAGGAACCGAAUGAAUGUUAACCACGGAAAAAACAACUUAAAAAUGUCGAGAACUUGGUAGCAUUGUUACUUGUUCUUGUGCCACCUCACUUCCCUGACCACCAGCAGUCUUGAAGGUGGCAGCUCAUGUUCUCAGUGAGACCCUGGUCCCUGGCUCCAGAGGGAACAAAGCAGACCUUCUAUGCGAAGAAUUGUGUUUGUCUCUUUUAACCUGUCUGAAGACAUCCUGAGCAACUGAGGCAAGGUGUUUGCUUUGUUUCAACUAAACUGAAACUCUCUCAGGAAGAAAAGAAGUUAUUCAGAGGCCAGGCCUUGAAAACAAUGAAAGGUAAAUGGACAGCCUCUCUGCCAUCUGGGACAGACAAUUAUAGUGAAGCAAACAAGCAAAAUAUGGAAGCCUGAAAGGAGGCUCUGAGAAGAGAGGUUCUUUGAGCAAGUAGGGCAUGGAAAAGCUCCUGUAUUCUGGGGAAUGUAUACUGGGAAAUUUAAAAGCCAUGUACUUGGCUGGGCACGGUGGCUUAUGUCUGUAAUCCAGCACUUUGGGAGGCCAAGGCGGGCAAAUCAUGAGGUCAGGAGUUCAAGACCAGCCUGGCCAAUAUGGUGAAACCUCAUCUCUACAAAAAGAUACAAAAAUUACCCGGGCGUGGUGGCAGGCGCCUGUAGUUCCAGCUACUCAGGAGGCUGAGGCGGGAUAAUAGCUUGAACCCGGGGGGCAGCAGUUGCAGUGGGCCGAGAUCGCGCCACUGCACUCCAGCCUGGGUGACAGAGUGAGACGGCGUCCCAAAAAAAAAAAAAAAAAAAAUAAGCCAUAUGCUUGCUUAGAGUAGGACACAUGUUCAAAUGUGUUCAGAAAGGCCGGAGAAGGCCUAAAGCUUUCGCCCCUGGCUGAUCUUCAGGCUCAAUAAGCAAAGAGUGAAGGCUAAUACAGUGCGGUAAACAGCCUACCUAAGUGCCAAAGGAGUGCCAACACAGAUUGCCAACACAUGCCAAUCUGCAAAGACAAGAAGAGUAUGUGUUUUCUCAUUUUUCUCUUUUUUAAUUUUUCUGUCUUUGUUUGGUUGUUUAGUUGGUUUUUCUUUUUCUUUCUGCUUUAGACAUUUAAGAAAAUCUGUCAACAUGACAACCUGUAUGUGCUGCAGAGCUUUCUUUUGUUCUGGGCUCUACUCAAAACCAGCUAUUUCUACGGCAAAUCAGUAAAUGGACCAUAGUAGUAGACCCAAAUGAGAAAUUUGUUUCUGUUAGAGUAGGUAGCUAGGCAGACAUGAGUGGGACAGGAGAGACCUGCCCCCAAGGAAUGUCAGGCAAACAUGAAGUGAUGAUCAGGUGGUUGUUACAUUGUAUCUCUAAAAUGAUAAUCAGUCGCAUCCGGUGCCAGGAAAGGCAAUCUCUCAAUAGAUAGAAAAUAUUUGAAGCUGGUGACCAGCAGCUUCUCAAUACGAUCUCAGGAGAUGGGCGAGCAGCUUCAAGCAUGCACACUAAGAGGCAAAAUGGCAGUUUAACAGGUAAGGGAACUUCCUCUAGAAACACUCGCCUGGUAAAGGAAAAACACCUCAAGUGAACAUGUGCACAACUUCGGUAAACACACUGUGCAUGUGACCCCUCCCAAGUGCUGGCAGGCCACUGCCCAUGUAAACAGCCCAUCCCAAGAGGUGAAUCAGGGGAGAAGUAGCACAACCCUGGAAGCAUGUCAAUGUAUAAGACCCCCA
rnacentral:lncRNA from 1 species